AUCCAGAUGACGAGUCCCAAAUAGGACGAAAUGCGC
rnacentral:hammerhead_ribozyme from 1 species